AAUGAACGUUGGCGGCAUGGAUUAGGCAUGCAAGUCGCGCGCGAAACGUAGCAAUACGUGGAGAGCGGCGAAAGGGAGAGGAAUACGUGGGAACCUACCUCGGGGCCUGGAAUAGCGGCGGGAAACUGCCGGUAAUGCCAGAUAACGUCUCCGGACCAAAGGUGUGAUUCCGCCUGGAGAUGCGCCCACGUCCUAUCAGCUUGUUGGUGUGGUAAUGGCGUACCAAGGCUAAGACGGGUAUGGGGUGUGAGAGCAUGCCCCCACUCACUGGGACUGAGACAGUGCCCAGACACCUACGGGUGGCUGCAGUCGAGAAUCGUCGGCAAUGAGCGCAAGCUUGACCGAGCGAUGCCGCGUGCGGGAUGAAGGCCCUCGGGUUGUAAACCGCUGUCGUAGAGGAGUAAUGGUCAGGGGGUUCUCCCUCCGAUUUGAACAAUUCUAGGAGGAAGGACGGGCUAAGUUCGUGCCAGCCGCCGCGGUAAUAC
rnacentral:rRNA from 1 species